GUUGAACAAUCUAAUAAUAAUAAUAAUAAUAAUAAUAAUAAUAAUAAUAAUAAUAAUAAUGCAGCAGGUGGUGAAAUGCAACAAAUCCCGGAAUCAGUUUCCGUUAAUGAAGUUGCAAAAGCAUCAACAGAUAACGUGUCAAUGUCAAUGAACCAAUCACAACAGAACAUGACAGGUGGCAGGAUGCACCCUCCUCAAGGUGGAAUGUUGCCACAAUCAAGACCUCUUCAAUCGGAAUCACAACCCUCUUUCCAACAACAACAGAAUCAGCUAAUGCAACAGCAGUUACAAAGAUCAUCUGCCAUGAUGCUUGCAUCAAAUCCAUUAUCACAUUUAAACGCAAUGGGACAGAAUUCAAACAUGCAACAGUUAGGUCACAUGCUUAACAAAGCAACACCACUCCAAAUUCAGCUUCUACAGCAACAACAACAGCAACAGCAACAGCAACAACAGCAGCAACAACAACAACAACAGCCUCAGAUGCAGCAAAGGAAGCUGAUGAUGGGACUUGGAAACACCGGAAUGGGAACGGGAACGGGCGGAAACAACAUGGUGGGGCUUCAAGGGAUGGGGAAUGUGAUGGGUCGUGGUGGGACCCCGCCAAUGACAGGGGCAAUUUCGGGAAUGGGACAAAACCCGAUUAAUAUGAGUCAGGCUUCAAGUUUUAGUAAUGUGAUUAGUCAGCAACUUCGGAAUGGAAUGAUAACGCCCGCUCAGGCUGCCAUCAUGACAACGAAGCUGAGAAUGGCACAUAGUAGGAACCUGUUGGGUGCGGGUGGAGGGCAAAAUAGUAAUAUCACUGGAUUGCCUGGUGGGAACCGACAGGUCCAUCCAGGGUCGAGUAACUACUCGAUGCUGGGUCCCACUAUGAACCGUGCUGCUAACACCAUGAACCCGAUGCAACGAACCGCUAUGGCCCCACCAAAGCUGAUGUCAGGGAUGAAUGUGUACAUGAAUCAACAACAGCAGCAACAGCAACAACAACAGUUGAAUGUUCAACAACAGCAACAGCAACAGCAACAGCAACAACAAAUGACGCAACAGAUGCAGCAAAUGCCAGCUCAGCAACAGCAGCAGCAGCAGCAAGAGUCAACAUCGCCGUUACAGGCGGUACUUUCGCCACCUCAGCAGCAAGUGGGGUCACCAGGGAUGGGAGUGGGACAGCAGCAACAGGCGAGUCCACAGCAGAUGAGUCAGCGGACUCCGAUGAGUCCACAGCUGAGUUCAGGUGGGAUCCACCCUCCAAUGACAAUGAGUGGAGGUGGAGGUGGAGGUGGAGGUGGUCAGGAGGGUAAUUGUCCUGCAAGCCCACAGUUGAGCUCACAGACAAUGGGGUCUGUUGGUAGUAUCACUAAUUCACCAAUGGAGAUGCAGGCUGUCAACAAGAGUAGCUAACUUUGUGUUUCUAGUACUCACGUUAAUUAGGUUCUCAUGUUAAAUUAGUGUUGUGCUGUAAUUGGGAUGGAUGGGUAUAUAUAUAUUAAUUAUAUUUAUAUAAUGGAGAAUUAUUU
rnacentral:lncRNA from 1 species